rnacentral:rRNA from 1 species
GACAGAGGGUGCAAACGUUGUUCGGAUUUACUGGGCGUAAAGCGCGUGUAGGCGGCUUGGCACGUCGGGUGUGAAAGCCCACGGCUCAACCGUGGAAGCGCAUCCGAAACUGCUUCGCUCGAGUCUCGGAGAGGAAGGUGGAAUGCUUGGUGUAGAGGUGAAAUUCGUAGAUAUCAAGCAGAACACCUGCGGCGAAGGCGGCCUUCUGGACGAUGACUGACGCUGAGACGCGAAAGCGUGGGGAGCAAACAGG